CUACGUAGGUGGCAAGCGUUGUCCGGAAUUAUUGGGCGUAAAGCGCAUGUAGGCGGUUUGGUAAGUCGGUCGUGAAAAUGCGGUGCUUAACGCCGUAUGGCGAUUGAAACUGCUGAACUUGAGUGCAGGAGAGGAAAGGGGAACUCCCAGUGUAGCGGUGAAAUGCGUAGAUAUUGGGAAGAACACCGGUGGCGAAGGCGCCUGUCGGGACUGGUGCGGACGCUCAGAUGCGAAAGCCAGGGUAGCGAAGGGGAUUAGAUACCCCGGUAGGCCUGGCCGUAAACGAUGGGUACUAGGUGUGGGAGGUAUCGACUCCUUCCGUGCCGGAGUUAACGCAAUAAGUACCCCGCCUGGGGAGUACGGCCGCAAGGCUUAAACUCAAAUGAAUUGACGGGG
rnacentral:rRNA from 1 species